rnacentral:rRNA from 1 species
UACGUAGGGGGCAAGCGUUGUCCGGAUUUACUGGGCGUAAAGAGCGCGUAGGCGGCCGAGUAAGUCCGACGUGAAAUCUGGAGGCUCAACCUCCAGCGGUCGUUGGAAACUACUCGGCUAGAGUCCGGAAGAGGAGAGUGGAAUUCCUGGUGUAGCGGUGAAAUGCGCAGAUAUCAGGAAGAACACCGAUGGCGAAGGCAGCUCUCUGGGACGGUACUGACGCUGAGGCGCGAAAGCGUGGGGAGCGAACAGG